rnacentral:rRNA from 1 species
UAGGGAAUCUUCCACAAUGGACGAAAGUCUGAUGGAGCAACGCCGCGUGAGUGAAGAAGGUUUUCGGAUCGUAAAGCUCUGUUGUUGGUGAAGAAGGAUAGAGGCAGUAACUGGUCUUUAUUUGACGGUAAUCAACCAGAAAGUCACGGCUAACUACGUGCCAGCAGCCGCGGUAAUACGUAGGUGGCAAGCGUUGUCCGGAUUUAUUGGGCGUAAAGCGAGCGCAGGCGGAAUGAUAAGUCUGAUGUGAAAGCCCACGGCUCAACCGUGGAACUGCAUCGGAAACUGUCAUUCUUGAGUGCAGAAGAGGAGAGUGGAACUCCAUGUGUAGCGGUGGAAUGCGUAGAUAUAUGGAAGAACACCAGUGGCGAAGGCGGCUCUCUGGUCUGCAACUGACGCUGAGGCUCGAAAGCAUGGGUAGCGAACAGGAUUAGAUACCCUGGUAGUCCAUGCC